rnacentral:rRNA from 1 species
UUAAUGGGCGUCGAGCGGCGGACGGGUGAGUAAUGCCUAGGAAAUUGCCUUGAUGUGGGGGAUAACCAUUGGAAACGAUGGCUAAUACCGCAUAAUGCCUACGGGCCAAAGAGGGGGAYCUUCGGACCUCUCGCGUCAAGAUAUGCCUAGGUGGGAUUAGCUAGUUGGUGAGGUAAUGGCUCACCAAGGCGACGAUCCCUAGCUGGUCUGAGAGGAUGAUCAGCCACACUGGAACUGAGACACGGUCCAGACUCAUACGGGAGGCAGCAGUGGGGAAUAUUGCACAAUGGGCGAAAGCCUGAUGCAGCCAUGCCGCGUGUAUGAAGAAGGCCUUCGGGUUGUAAAGUACUUUCAGUUGUGAGGAAGGGUGUGUAGUUAAUAGCUGCGCAUCUUGACGUUAGCAACAGAAGAAGCACCGGCUAACUCCGUGCCAGCAGCCGCGGUAAUACGGAGGGUGCGAGCGUUAAUCGGAAUUACUGGGCGUAAAGCGCAUGCNGGUGGUUCAUUAAGUCAGAUGUGAAAGCCCGGGGCUCAACCUCGGAACUGCAUUUGAACUGGUGAACUAGAGUGCUGUAGAGGGGGGUAGAAUUUCAGGUGUAGCGGUGAAUGCGUAGAGAUCUGAAGGAUACCAGUGGCGAAGGC